AGUGAACGCUGGCGGUAGGCCUAACACAUGCAAGUCGAACGACAGCACAGUAAGAGCUCGCUCUUACGGGUGGCGAGUGGCGGACGGGUGAGGAAUACAUCGGAAUCUACUUUUUCGUGGGGGAUAACGUAGGGAAACUUACGCUAAUACCGCAUACGAUCUACGGGUGAAAGCAGUGGAUCUUCGGACCUUUCGCGAUUGAAUGAGCCGAUGUCGGAUUAGCUAGUUGGCGAGGUAAAGGCCCACCAAGGCGACGAUCCGUAGCUGGUCUGAGAGGAUGAUCAGCCACACUGGAACUGAGACACGGUCCAGACUCCUACGGGAGGCAGCAGUGGGGAAUAUUGGACAAUGGGCGCAAGCCUGAUCCAGCCAUACCGCGUGGGUGAAGAAGGCCUUCGGGUUGUAAAGCCCUUUUGUUAGGAAAGAAAAGCAGCAGGUGAAUACCCCGCUGUUCUGACGGUACCCAAAGAGUAAGCACCGGCUAACUUCGUG
rnacentral:rRNA from 1 species